rnacentral:rRNA from 1 species
CGCGUAGGCGGCCUGUGCAAGUUAGAGGUGAAAGCCCCGGGCUCAACCUGGGAAUUGCCUUUAAAACUGCUGGGCUUGAGUCCGGAAGAGGAUGGCGGAAUUCCCAGUGUAGAGGUGAAAUUCGUAGAUAUUGGGAAGAACACCAGUGGCGAAGGCGGCCAUCUGGUCCGGAACUGACGCUGAGGCGCGAAAGCGUGGGGAGCAAACA